GCUCUGCAGUGAGAGUGGAGUCAGCGUUUCUUCUUGCUGUUGAGCUUCGGGAUAGGCAUCUAUCACUUGCGCUCACACAGUUCUUUCCGUUGAGCAUCUGUCAAGGUGACACAGAUUUGAGGGACUGUCACACUUGAUUAGAGCUCACUUGGGUGCUCCCGGAACCUGGAACAGACAAACUCCAAGAGGAGACUAAAGAUUUUCCGCAUCCUGGGACUCCAGGCCGAAUCACUUUGUGUGGCCUCGGAGGGAACACCUAUCCAAUGCUGCCAAGAAAUAAACCUUUCA
rnacentral:lncRNA from 1 species